GACGAACGCUGGCGGCGUGCUUAACACAUGCAAGUCGAACGGCAAGGCCCUUCUUUUGUGGGGGUCUCGAGUGGCGAACGGGUGAGUAACACGUGAGUAACCUGCCCUUGACUUUGGGAUAACUUCAGGAAACUGGGGCUAAUACCGGAUAGGAGCUCCGGCUGCAUGGUGGGGGUUGGAAAGUUUCGGCGGUUGGGGAUGGACUCGCGGGUUCUCAUCUUGUUGGUGGGGUAGUGGAUUACCAAGGCUUUGACGGGUAGCCGGCCUGAGAGGGUGACCGGCAACAUUGGGAAUGAGAUACGGCAGAGAGUACUAAGGGAGGCAGGAGUGGGGAAUAUUGCAUGAUGGGCGGAAGUCUGAUGCAGGAAGGAGGUGUGAUGGAUGACGGACUUCGGGUUUUAAACCGUUUACGCCGGUGACGAAGCGUGAGUGAAGGUAAUGGGUAAAGAAGCACCGGCUAACUACGUG
rnacentral:rRNA from 1 species